CAGGAUUUCAGUUUCAGAGCCACCUCUGGGUCUGCACCUCCCCUGUGGGGCCUACUGUUUGGCCUUGUGCAGUGCUUUGGAUCUCUGCUUUCCAGAUCAGAUUACAACAAUCCAUUUAACUACUAUGAAACGGUUCUGGAGUGACACUGUUGUGAAGAGGAAAUUCCAGCGGAGCUACUGGAGCAAGCCUUUGAUCUGCCAUAUUGAACUCCUCCAGCUGUGCGGAUUCACUGCACUAUAAGAAAAACAUUUCUACGACCACUUUAAAGCUAAACUCAUUUCAGGAUUGCUUUAAAUUUAGCAACAUCAUCUCACUGGCAAUACAUGAGUUGUAUUUCUUGAAUACAGGAAGCUACAUUCACUUCAGUGAAGGCUUGACGUCAUCAGGCAGCAUUAGCAUCACCUGGGACUUUUCAAGCCUCACCUCAGACCUACUAAAUCCGAGUCUGCAUUUUAAGAAGCUCCCCAGGUGAUUAAUCCCCACAAUAAAGUUUCAGAAGCAUUGAUUUAAAGGAUC
rnacentral:lncRNA from 10 species